rnacentral:lncRNA from 1 species
AAUGUGAGGCUACAGGAGAUGAUGGCAACAAUGUGCCAGGAACGUGGAGCCCGGCUUUUUGCUACAGAUGAGAGAUUCUGUAUUGACAAUGGAGCGAUGAUAGCCCAGGCUGGCUGGGAGAUGUUUCGGGCUGGACACAGGACCCCACUCAGUGAUUCUGGGGUUACACAGAGGUGAGUGAUUCACCUCUUGGUGAGGGUAGAUUAUUGGGACAUAGACAAAAACAGCAGGGAAGAGUCCAGGAACAUGAGGGCAGAGAAGAAUGAAGGAUGUUAAGGGCUCGCUCUCCACCAUGUUUCUUCUGUUUUUCCACAGGUAUCGGACAGAUGAAGUAGAGGUGACCUGGAGGGACUAAUAAGAUCAACAGAAUCAGAGUAGAUAGUUCCUUAAUCGGAACCCAAAGGACCCCGUGCCUCAAUCUCUAUCCUGAUGUCAUGGGAGUCCUAGCAAAGCUAUAGACUCCAAGCAAGGCUUGGGGUCCUUUAUGGAACCCCAGGAUGACUCAGCAAUAAAAUAUUUUUGGUUUUUUG